UUUUUGACUUCCUUUCCUUUUCUCCAUCCUUGUAAUCAAAUUUGAGCAAAAUCAAAUGGGGCUUUCUAUGAAAGUACCUUUUGUUGAUCUGAACGAGCUGGUAAUUUACAAAAUACCCUUCCUUUGUGAGGAAGGCUAAAGAAAAAAAGAAUCAGUAGCUUUUAAAGCUGGGCCUUGGUGGGACUCUAAAUGCAGUGAAAGCAGUCUGUGUUGAGAGAUUGAAAUGCAUUUCAAAGCCAGGCCUGAGUCAGGGUACAGGGAAGAAAAAACCUAUGUGCAUUUUAUAAGAAGAAAAACCUGAAUGGGAAGGGGAAAAGAGAGAGAGAGAGGAAAAAAUCUGGAUAAUACAUUAAUCAUUAUUUUGGAAAUUGUCUUCCUUACUGACACAUACUGCGUAACUAGUGAUUGAGAACUUGGAUUUUUGUUCUAUUAUAGGCAUCUCAACAUUUGUCUGUGCUGCUUUAAAGUUUGAGAGGCAAGGAUCCUUGAACACUGCUGGACUAUGUUUUAAAUGUGUAUAUAUAUUUUUCAACUUUGCUUUUUGUGGUUCUUUUUCCUUUUUUUUUUUAACCUUGCCUGUGAAGUAUUAUGAGGAAAAAUACUUGCAGGAAAGCUGAAUUUAUUCUUUUUGGCAUGCUAAUGUUUAUUUUUAUUGUAUUUCUGCUUACCAGAUUUCCUAGGGGUAAUUAUUUCCCAUUGACUAAGACCACAGGACAGUGUGAACACCUAACAAAAAGGACUGCAGUUAAGAG
rnacentral:lncRNA from 13 species